rnacentral:rRNA from 1 species
GCGGACGGGUGAGUAACACGUGGAUAACCUACCUAUAAGACUGGGAUAACUUCGGGAAACCGGAGCUAAUACCGGAUAAUAUAUUGAACCGCAUGGUUCAAUAGUGAAAGACGGUUUUGCUGUCACUUAUAGAUGGAUUCGCGCCGCAUUAGCUAGUUGGUAAGGUAACGGCUUACCAAGGCAACGAUGCGUAGCCGACCUGAGAGGGUGAUCGGCCACACUGGAACUGUGACACGGUCCAG